GAUGAACGCUGGCGGCGUGCCUAAUACAUGCAAGUCGAGCGAACAGACGAGGAGCUUGCUCCUCUGACGUUAGCGGCGGACGGGUGAGUAACACGUGGAUAACCUACCUAUAAGACUGGGAUAACUUCGGGAAACCGGAGCUAAUACCGGAUAACAUGUUGAACCGCAUGGUUUAAUAGUGAAAGACGGUCUUGCUGUCACUUAUAGAUGGAUCCGCGCCGCAUUAGCUAGUUGGUAAGGUAACGGCUUACCAAGGCAACGAUGCGUAGCCGACCUGAGAGGGUGAUCGGCCACACUGGAACUGAGACACGGUCCAGACUCCUACGGGAGGCAGCAGUAGGGAAUCUUCCGCAAUGGGCGAAAGCCUGACGGAGCAACGCCGCGUGAGUGAAGAAGGUCUUCGGAUCGUAAAACUCUGUUAUUAGGGAAGAACAAAUGUGUAAGUAAUUAUGCACGUCUUGACGGUACCUAAUCAGAAAGCCACGGCUAACUACGUG
rnacentral:rRNA from 1 species